AAAAAGAAAGCCCUUGAUGUACUAAGACACUGACACUGAUUUCUGCCAGUCGCCUUGGGGAUGGGAGACUCAGCGUGCCUCAUCUCCAGACAGGAGUCUCACUAUUAACUCCUAAGGCGGUCCUCUAAAUUACUGAGAUGUUUUGUCAGAAAACUGCCCAUCAUGUUGGCACCUUGCGAUGUUCAUCCGCUUGUCCUGUUGUCUUCUACUGUUUUGCUAUUCCUUCCACAUGACAAUCUGUCAGGUUUCAGAGCACUUCUGCGCAUAAAGGCUGAAUUCAAACUUCUGUGGUUCUGAGUUAGGUAGCUGAUCUCAGGGCAACAAUGCUACCUCCCACCAGUAGGUGGCGAUAGCAGUUGGUUGUAGGUUGGUAAAUGAACUCUUAAGAGGAAAUUUCUUCUUUGAAAACAGCAAUGGUACAUACUUUUGAGGAUUUCUUUUCUGGGAAAAAUAUUCUCAGCUCCCCCAAACAAUCCAUAGGGUGAUGGUAUCAUCUUGAAGCUCCUUUCCAGCCUGGCCCUGGGGCACUGGGCAGUCAUUCAUAGCUUAACUGAAGAGCCAGUGUGUCCCAGAGCUUAUCCUUCCUUGUAAAUAUCGGCCCAUGGGAUGUUAGGAGAGAAAUCAGCGUGAGCACAUUCCUGGAAGGCAGUCGGGGCUGGAACAGUCCCAGGAGAAUACCACACAGAGAGGUUUGAUGGGCAGGAGUACACAGGGACCCGAGGAAGGCACCUCCCAACAUCCUGUGGUGUACACGUUUUCAGAAUCCAGGAAGAAGCACAUUUCUGCUUCGUUUACCCAGUUCUCCCUGCGUCCUCCCACGUCCGCUCGCGCUUCUGCCACAACUCACCGUGGGCACAUUCCCACCCUGCCACCCGCUCCUCUGGCCCAUGACUCUGUAAUCUAGGGCUGCUCCACCCCGAGGGCGCUGAGAAAAUUCCCGAGCUCAAAGAAGAUGAGGAAUGGAGUCGUCACUCUCUAGACCCUGUCCUCCGGGUUAGGACGUUUACCAACAUCCCCUGCCACCUCGACCUACUACACCAGUGGUGACAACCAAAAUGGGAAGCAACACAAGCAACACUGCCCCUGGCUGAGAACCACGGGGUAAAGCUGUGAGGCCCUGCCUCCGAGAAGGUCCAGACAAGACGGAAAAGGUCCCGGCUGGACUUGCACCUGCACAGACAAGCGAUGAUGCAGAUGAAGAGGACGAUGACCCAAACGCAAUCGCUAUCUUUCUUUUCGGAGGAGGGAAGCAGGUACUGGGA